UACGGGAGGCAGCAGUGGGGAAUAUUGCACAAUGGGCGCAAGCCUGAUGCAGCCAUGCCGCGUGUAUGAAGAAGGCCUUCGGGUUGUAAAGUACUUUCAGUCGUGAGGAAGGUGUUAAGGUUAAUAACCUUAGCAAUUGACGUUAGCGACAGAAGAAGCACCGGCUAACUCCGUGCCAGCAGCCGCGGUAAUACGGAGGGUGCGAGCGUUAAUCGGAAUUACUGGGCGUAAAGGGCACGCAGGCGGUUAAUUAAGUUGGAUGUGAAAUCCCCGGGCUUAACCUGGGAAUGGCAUUCAAGACUGGUUAGCUAGAGUCUUGUAGAGGGGGUAGAAUUCCAUGUGUAGCGGUGAAAUGCGUAGAGAUGUGGAGGAAUACCGGUGGCGAAGGCGGCCCCUGGCAAAGGACUGACGCUCAUGUGCGAAAGCGUGGGGAGCGAAACAGGGAUUAGAU
rnacentral:rRNA from 1 species